UUUUUCCGCUGUGUGCAUCCGAUGGGGUGAGCUGUGGCUCAUGAAGGCUUAUGCUCGGGUGAAUUGGUUGGUCUCUGGGGUGCCACAAGUACUCCUUUUCUUUUUGCGAAUACAGACUAACACGGCUGUUACUCUGAAACCUGUCAUAUUAGACAGUCUCCCU